CCUACGGGGCGCAGCAGUGGGGAAUAUUGCACAAUGGGGGAAACCCUGAUGCAGCGACGCCGCGUGAGCGAAGAAGUAUUUCGGUAUGUAAAGCUCUAUCAGCAGGGAAGAAAAUGACGGUACCUGAGUAAGAAGCUCCGGCUAAAUACGUGCCAGCAGCCGCGGCAAUACGUAUGGAGCAAGCGUUAUCCGGAUUUACUGGGUGUAAAGGGAGCGCAGGCGGCCUUGCAAGUCUGAUGUGAAAUACCGGGGCUCAACCCCGGAGCUGCAUUGGAAACUGUGAGGCGUGAGUGUCGGACAGGCAG
rnacentral:rRNA from 1 species